rnacentral:lncRNA from 1 species
ACCCAAUGGGCCAGAGAUUCAUUAGUAUACACCCACCACCAGCUGUCUCUGCACUGGUUAAAUUCCUCUUACACCCAGAAACAAAAUUUGGGAUGGAACCUGUCCUCAAGUUGAAUGUAGGACGUGUGAAUUGUAUUAGCAUCCAAGUGAAAGUGAAAAGAUCCAUGUGCUGGAUGAAGAGCAAACAGUAAGCCUGAUAACUGAAGCUGGUUUUCUGUUACUUGUAAAUCAAGGAGUCCUAAAACAAAAAAUGGACGUCACAAAAUAUUGACCGCAGAUUAAAAAACUGAAGCAGGCUCUUUAAUGUUUUUGUCCAAAAACUUUGAACUAGUAAACGGGAGACCUGGGACAACAGUAAAGACCACAUCAUAGGAACAUCCUUCUCAGGAUGCCAGUUCCUACUGUCUACCAUGAAGCACUUCUCUCACCACCAACUUUACUGCCCCUGGGCACUGGGCUCUUGGCUACCACGUUGCACCUCUUAUUCCAGAUUCAGGUCUCGGGUGCUUACCACAUUUAUACAAAAGGAAACAGAAAUUCAACGUCUUGGAAAUCUCAAAUUAUCUUCAAAAUCUCGCUGUUUUGCAUCAUGAAAGGAGGCUUAGCUGAAUACUACAAUCAAAGGACGACUCACAUAAUUAGAAAAAAAGCCCUGCUUUCUUCAUUAAAAAAAAAUGAGAAUAAAUUUUCUGUCAUUCUUUGCUUGCAUACAUGUCUUAUCCCCUGAUGCUCAGUAAAGCUGAAUUUUCAAAUUUGUAACACUUCUUCAGGUCUCUGGGUUUGAUUAAUAAUAAUUGUCAGUCCAUUAAAAUGGAUUAUGAUGAUUCCCAAGGAAUUGGUUGUUAACAUAAUUAACAGCUGGCUUUACUUUCAAGACAUUAAUCAAAAGAGCAAGUUGCUGGAAAUGACCAGGUUCUCACAAAUGUUGCUAAUUAACAAAGGCAUUGAAGUUGUGUGACAAUGAUUCCUGAUGCUGUUAUCUGCAUGAUUGUAUCACAGCUUUAAAUGCCCCCAAUGUGAUAUGUUUUCUCAAGUGUUAUUAAGCCAACAGGCAUUUGAAUAAAUUUAAUUUAAAAGAAACA